UGGAGCCGGCCUUGAAAUACCACCCUUUAAUGUUUGAUGUUCUAACGUGGACCCGUGAUCCGGGUUGCGGACAGUGUCUGGUGGGUAGUUUGACUGGGGCGGUCUCCUCCUAAAGAGUAACGGAGGAGCACGAAGGUUGGCUAAUCCUGGUCGGACAUCAGGAGGUUAGUGCAAUGGCAUAAGCCAGCUUGACUGCGAGCGUGACGGCGCGAGCAGGUGCGAAAGCAGGUCAUAGUGAUCCGGUGGUUCUGAAUGGAAGGGCCAUCGCUCAACGGAUAAAAGGUACUCCGGGGAUAACAGGCUGAUACCGCCCAAGAGUUCAUAUCGACGGCGGUGUUUGGCACCUCGAUGUCGGCUCAUCACAUCCUGGGGCUGAAGUAGGUCCCAAGGGUAUGGCUGUUCGCCAUUUAAAGUGGUACGCGAGCUGGGUUUAGAACGUCGUGAGACAGUUCGGUCCCUAUCUGCCGUGGGCGCUGGAGAACUGAGGGGGGCUGCUCCUAGUACGAGAGGACCGGAGUGGACGCAUCACUGGUGUUCGGGUUGUCAUGCCAAUGGCACUGCCCGGUAGCUAAAUGCGGAAGAGAUAAGUGCUGAAAGCAUCUAAGCACGAAACUUGCCCCGA
rnacentral:rRNA from 1 species